GAUGAACGCUGGCGGCGUGCCUAAUACAUGCAAGUCGAGCGAACGGACGAGAAGCUUGCUUCUCUGAUGUUAGCGGCGGACGGGUGAGUAACACGUGGAUAACCUACCUAUAAGACUGGGAUAACUUCGGGAAACCGUAUCUAAUACCGGAUAAUAUUUUGCACCGCAUUGUUCAAAAGUGAAAGACGGUCUUGCUGUCACUUAUAGAUGGAUCCGCGCUGCAUUAGCUAGUUGGUAAGGUAACGGCUUACCAAGGCAACGAUGCAUAGCCGACCUGAGAGGGUGGUCGGCCACACUGGAACUGAGCCACGGUCCAGACUCCUACGGGAGGCAGCAGUAGGGAAUCUUCCGCAAUGGGCGAAAGCCUGACGGAGCAACGCCGCGUGAGUGAUGAAGGUCUUCGGAGCGUAAUACUCUGUUAUUAGGGAAGAACAGGUGUGGAAGUAACUGUGCACAUCUUGACGGUACCUAAUCAGAAAGCCACGGCUAACUACGUG
rnacentral:rRNA from 1 species